rnacentral:lncRNA from 1 species
CUUCAAAAAUAGCAUCACUUAAAUCUUUUCCUGGUUAUUCAAUGCAGCAUUAAUACAUAGGGUGACGAGCUGGCCUUGCCUCUCCUGUGCUAGGGAAUGGGCUUCAGGGGAACACAACCAUCUCCUCUCCCUAAGGAUGAGUGAAGCUCCUGAGCUCCUCCUGCCCACAUUUGUGUCACCACAGAAGGGCUAUGAGACGUGCGCACUGACAGCAGGGAAACGUUUGCAGCUCUCAUGCUAUGAAUCCCCUCGGUUGGAGGCUCCCCAUCACCCCAAGGUUCUCUGCUCCAGGGCUCCUGUUGAUUUUCCACACCCAACCUGAUUUGCUCUUGCUGCAAUUUAAACCUGUGACAUCUUGUCCCUCCCGCUGCGGCUAUGGAGAACAGGCUGUUCCCUUCCUCCUGAAGGUUAUCUUUUAAAGGCCUUAAGGACUUAGCGGUUAAGCUGGGGGAGAGACAAGGCUAACACCCCUCCACUGCUAUUUCUCAGGCUAAAGAAGGCAAGAGACCAUUCCUCCCAUGGUGCAGAGCUGUCGCCAUGUCACAACAGCAGCACUGCCCCACACCUGCCACCACCCCAGGUGCUUUCUGGAGGAAAGGCCACUCCUCGAUCCCCUCUCACCCUGCAUUUGAGCAGUCUGUGCCUCCCGCUGAAAUGCAGCGCCCUGCUGUUGUCCCCAGUUUAAUUUUCACCUCCAGAUUUGGUGCCGUUUCCCAUUUCAUCCAACUUGUCUGAAUUAUUUUGAAUUCCAGCCUUGUCUCCAAAAUGUCCUUGCCAUCCCUCCCUGAUCACUCUUGUCUGCAUGCAUAAUCAACCUCCUCCUUCAUCUGUCACCCGUGUCUUCAGUGCAAACACACGAUGGAGCAGGAGCCAGGAGGACGUGCUACCCACCCAUCCAUCUGAUCCAUGGGGACAGCAGCCCCACGGGGACCUUCCAGGGGUCACAGCUGUUUUACUGCGUGCUCUUUAACCGAGGAGCCCCAAAAGGAAGGGACAGAGCUCAUAAGCCCGGGAUGGUGGUUGCAGUGCAGCCCCCAUUACGGCACGUGGCUGAGGAGGUGACGAGAGUGAUGGAGGCCGAGUGCUGGGCUGCAGAGCUCAGGGGACGAGCGGCAGCUGUUGUGUGGCAGCUGGCAGCAGUGCACUGGGGAGCUGGGCUGUGUGUCUGUGCAGGUGAGCUGGGAGAGGAACACUGAGCAUCCCAAACGUCCCAAAGAUCUG